rnacentral:rRNA from 1 species
UACGUAGGGUGCGAGCGUUGUCCGGAAUUACUGGGCGUAAAGAGCUCGUAGGUGGUUUGUCGCGUUGUUCGUGAAAUCUCACGGCUUAACUGUGAGCGUGCGGGCGAUACGGGCAGACUGGAGUACUGCAGGGGAGACUGGAAUUCCUGGUGUAGCGGUGGAAUGCGCAGAUAUCAGGAGGAACACCUAAGGCGAAGGCAGCUCGCUGGAACGGUACUGACGCUGAGGCGCGAAAGCGUGGGGAGCAAACAGG